AGUGAACGCUGGCGGUAGGCCUAACACAUGCAAGUCGAACGGCAGCACAGUAAGAGCUUGCUCUUACGGGUGGCGAGUGGCGGACGGGUGAGGAAUACAUCGGAAUCUACUUUUUCUUGGGGGAUAACGUAGGGAAACUUACGCUAAUACCGCAUACGACCUACGGGUGAAAGCAGGGGAUCUUCGGACCUUGCGCGAUUGAAUGAGCCGAUGUCGGAUUAGCUAGUUGGCGGGGUAAAGGCCCACCAAGGCGACGAUCCGUAGCUGGUCUGAGAGGAUGAUCAGCCACACUGGAACUGAGACACGGUCCAGACUCCUACGGGAGGCAGCAGUGGGGAAUAUUGGACAAUGGGCGCAAGCCUGAUCCAGCCAUACCGCGUGGGUGAAGAAGGCCUUCGGAUUGUAAAGCCCUUUUGUUGGGAAAGAAAAGCAGCAGGUUAAUACCCCGCUGUUCUGACGGUACCCAAAGAAUAAGCACCGGCUAACUUCGUG
rnacentral:rRNA from 1 species